UGCGAUCUUUUUUCCCUGAAUUUCUGCAUGUAUAGAAUGUAGUUGCAGAUUAAAUAAUUACAUGGUUCUGCUCGAUUCAGGAAGGAUUUCAUGUCUGCAGAUAAUGUAUUACAAGAGGCUGUUGUGUGCCAGUGGACAAGCUGGUGAGAAGCUGAACACUAAUAGCUUGAAUCCUGGUGAAUGGACUGCCUGCAUAAGCGUCGUCAUGAUUUUUCCACGUGUAAUAUGAAUGCAAGCCAGUUUGCCUUAAAGCAUCCCUUCUUGGAAAAUAUCUUCUAGUGUUUCAUCACAAAAAUCAGUCAAAAACUGUUUCUCAUGAUUUGAAAAAUACGUAUAAAGGAAGUCAAAUUUAAUUGAUAAAUUGUGCAUGCUGAGAUUGUAUACUAUAUCAUAUACAUUU
rnacentral:lncRNA from 1 species